UACGUAGGGGGCAAGCGUUGUCCGGAAUCAUUGGGCGUAAAGCGCGUGUAGGCGGCUCGGUAAGUCCGCUCUGAAAGUCCGGGGCUCAACCCCGGGAGGCGGGUGGAUACUGUCGAGCUCGAGUCCGGAAGAGGCGAGUGGAAUUCCUGGUGUAGCGGUGAAAUGCGCAGAUAUCGGGAGGAACACCAGUAGCGAAGGCGGCACUCUGGGCCGGUACGUGACGGCUGAGGAGCCGAAAGCGUCGGGGAGCCGAACGAGGAACUGAAUG
rnacentral:rRNA from 1 species